UCCCUGCUGGCCCAGUGGUUAGGGCUCCAACCUUCCAAUGCUGGGGGCCCAGGUUCAAUCCCUAGUCAGGGGA
rnacentral:tRNA from 1 species